GGGGAAUAUUGCACAAUGGGCGCAAGCCUGAUGCAGCCAUGCCGCGUGUAUGAAGAAGGCCUUCGGGUUGUAAAGUACUUUCAGCGGGGAGGAAGGGAGUAAAGUUAAUACCUUUGCUCAUUGACGUUACCCGCAGAAGAAGCACCGGCUAACUCCGUGCCAGCAGCCGCGGUAAUACGGAGGGUGCAAGCGUUAAUCGGAAUUACUGGGCGUAAAGCGCACGCAGGCGGUUUGUUAAGUCAGAUGUGAAAUCCCCGGGCUCAACCUGGGAACUGCAUCUGAUACUGGCAAGCUUGAGUCUCGUAGAGGGGGGUAGAAUUCUAGGUGUAGCGGUGAAAUGCGUAGAGAUCUGGAGGAAUACCGGUGGCGAAGGCGGCCCCCUGGACGAAGACUGACGCUCAGGUGCGAAAGCGUGGGGAGCAAAC
rnacentral:rRNA from 1 species